rnacentral:snRNA from 1 species
UUGUUUCAUUUUUAUAAUCUCAU